AUUGAACGCUGGCGGCAGGCCUAACACAUGCAAGUCGAACGGUAGCACAGAGAGCUUGCACUCGGGUGACGAGUGGCGGACGGGUGAGUAAUGUCUGGGAAACUGCCCGAUGGAGGGGGAUAACUACUGGAAACGGUAGCUAAUACCGCAUAACGUCGCAAGACCAAAGAGGGGGACCUUCGGGCCUCUUGCCAUCGGAUGUGCCCAGAUGGGAUUAGCUAGUAGGUGGGGUAACGGCUCACCUAGGCGACGAUCCCUAGCUGGUCUGAGAGGAUGACCAGCAACACUGGAACUGAGACACGGUCCAGACUCCUACGGGAGGCAGCAGUGGGGAAUAUUGCACAAUGGGCGCAAGCCUGAUGCAGCCAUGCCGCGUGUAUGAAGAAGGCCUUCGGGUUGUAAAGUACUUUCAGCGAGGAGGAAGGUGUUGUGGUUAAUAACCGCAGCAAUUGACGUUACUCGCAGAAGAAGCACCGGCUAACUCCGUGCCAGCCGCCGCAGUAACAC
rnacentral:rRNA from 1 species